rnacentral:rRNA from 1 species
GUAAUGCCUAGGAAUCUGCCUAGUAGUGGGGGAUAACGUCCGGAAACGGGCGCUAAUACCGCAUACGUCCUACGGGAGAAAGUGGGGGAUCUUCGGACCUCACGCUAUUAGAUGAGCCUAGGUCGGAUUAGCUAGUUGGUGAGGUAAUGGCUCACCAAGGCGACGAUCCGUAACUGGUCUGAGAGGAUGAUCAGUCACACUGGAACUGAGACACGGUCCAGACUCCUACGGGAGGCAGCAGUGGGGAAUAUUGGACAAUGGGCGAAAGCCUGAUCCAGCCAUGCCGCGUGUGUGAAGAAGGUCUUCGGAUUGUAAAGCACUUUAAGUUGGGAGGAAGGGCAGUUACCUAAUACGUGAUUGUUUUGACGUUACCGACAGAAUAAGCACCGGCUAACUCUGUGCCAGCAGCCGCGGUAAUACAGAGGGUGCAAGCGUUAAUCGGAAUUACUGGGCGUAAAGCGCGCGUAGGUGGUUUGUUAAGUUGGAUGUGAAAGCCCCGGGCUCAACCUGGGAAACUGCAUCCAAAACUGGCAAGCUAGAGUAUG